rnacentral:rRNA from 1 species
GUCUACAGGCAUAUCACCCUAAAUACACCUGAUCUCAUUUGAUCUCACAAGCUAAGCAGGGUCAGGCCUGGUUAGUACUUGGGUGUGAGAAACACUCUCUAAACUCUGUUUCCUACUUUAGUUUUGUGGGCU